CAGAUGCUAGUGGGAAAGGAGUGGGCGCUGUUCUUCAACAAAAGGGAAAGCCAAUAGCCUUCUUUAGUAAGGCUUUGGGAGUAAAAUACCAAGCUUUAUCCAUAUAUGAUAAUGAGAUGAUGGCAGUGUUACUAGCAGUAAAAAAAUGGCAUUCUUACAUUGUGGGUCGACCUUUUGUCAUAAAAACGGAUCAUCAGGGUUUGAAAUUUCUUUCGGAACAACAAGCUAUUACACCCUAUCAACAAAAGUGGGUGGCUAAGAUGCUUGGUUAUGAUUAUUCAAUCAUGUAUCGAAAAGGGGCGCAAAACGCAAUAGCAGAUACAUUAUCUAGGAAACCCUCAGAAACGGAGCAUCAGUUGUUGCAAUGUGAAGGCACUAUGGAGUCAGAUUGGUCUACAAUUUGGGACAAGAUUGUUGGUUUGUAUGAGAGUGAUCCAAAACUUGCGCGACUUUGUGAGCAAAUGCGUGUGCAGCCACUGUUGCAUUCCAAAUACUCAUGGCAUGACACCUUUUUGCGUAGGAAAAACAAAGUCGUGGUUGGCAAGGAUGCCACAUUGCGAAAGUAGAUUUUUGACAUCUUCCACAACACACCUUUGGGAGGUCACUCUGGAGUCCAUGCAACUCGCCAAAGAAUAUCAACUAUAUUGUAUUGGAAGGGGCUUUCCAAAGAUGUACAUGCUUGGGUUCACGAGUGUGUGACGUGUCAAAGAUGUAAGUCGGACAAUGCAGCAUCGCCUGGUCUGUUGCAGCCGUUGCCUAUUCCAGAACGGGUUUGGUCUGACAUUAGCAUGGAUUUCAUCGAGGGACUGCCAUUGUCUUAAGGGAAAUCAACCAUCUUGGUAGUGGUUGAUCGUUUGACCAAGUACGGACAUUUUUUGGCACUUGAUUAUCCCUUCUCGGCUCUUACAGUGGCACAAGAGUAUUUCACCCAUAUUUACAAGCUUCAUGGGAUUCCAGAGAGCAUUGUCUCCGAUAGGGACAAAAUUUUCCUGAGUCAGUUUUGGCAGGAGUUGUUCAAACACAUGGGAACCAAGUUGAAGAAAUCUACAGCUUAUCAUCCCCAGACAGAUGGGCAGACCGAGGUGUUAAAUAGAUGUUUGGAGGGAUACUUGCGAUGCAUGGUUGGGGAGAAACCUUCAGCAUGGUUAUCAUGGUUACCAUGGUGAGUGGUGGUAUAACACAACACACCAUUCAGCAAUUCACACAACGCCUUAUGAGGCUCUUUAUGGACAACCCCCACCUAUACAUCUAACUUAUGUGGUCGGUGUAUCCCCAGUAGCUUCAGUCGAUCGAACCUUACAGCAUAGAGAGAUUAUACGGAAGGUUCUUAAGUUUCACUUGUCCUGAGCUCAAGACAGAAUGAAACAAAUGGCUGACAGAAAAAGAACAGAAAGGGAGUUUCAGGUGGGUGACUUAGUUUAUUUGAAGCUUCAGCCAUAUCGUCAACACUCUCUGCGCAAAUUCAGAAACCAAAAAUUGUCACCUCGAUACUUUGGUCCUUUUCCUGUGGAAGCUCGAGUAGGAUAGGUGGCUUAUAAUUUGACAUUGCCCGUUUUAGCUCGAAUUUAUCACACUUUCCAUGUUUCCCAGCUAAAGAAGCAUAUCGGUUCAGCAGUGAGUGCUCCCACGCUACCACCGGUUACCUCGGAUGGUGCUCUCCUUAAGUCUCCAGUGUGAGUGUUGGAUAGGAGGAUGGUCCGACAAGGCAAUCAUGCUACAGUGGAAGUAUUGGUUGAAUGGACAGACACUUUUCCUGAGGAUGCUUCCUGGGGGAAGUUAUCUGAGUUACAACGCAGGUUCCCUACCUUUAAUCCUUGAGGACAAUGAUUUCUUUUAAAGGGGGAAAUUGUUAUGGUUCUUAUUAUGGUUCUAUUAUUGUUAUGUGGGUUAUAAUAAUUAGUUAAAGUGCUGCGUUUUUGUUAAAUACGUUUAGUAAUACGGUGAGUUUGGAUUGAACAAAACGGGUGCGUUUAGUAGAAUUAGGUAAUGGGUUGACUAUAUUACGUGUAACAGAAAAGAGGUUGGGCAUGAAAUUGAAUAUUGAAUUUUCAGCUUCUCUGCUCUUUAGCUCUUUCUCUCUAGAUUCUUUUCUUCUUCUUAGAUUCUAUUUCUUCUCGAGAACAUUCUUCAACAAGGUGGCGCCGAUUCGACGACUCCGACGAAAGAGGCGUUCGUGGAGCGCGCGUGGAGGAUCGGCCCCGAGACGUGCGGCGGCUGGAGGCUUUGCUGGAGGCGGGGAGGCUGCUAGGCAAACAUGCGGCUAGGGUUUUGUUUUUUGGUUUUUAGUUUUGCUGUGUUGGGCUAUUUUAAUUGGGCUUGUAUUUUAAAGAUUUGGGCUGUGCUUUUGUUUUGUGCGGGCCUGUUUAUUAUUAUAUUUGUUUUGGUUUAUUAUGUGGGCCCAGGCAAAUAAUUGGUAUUACAAUUAUUAUUGGUUUAGCAGUUGAAUCGAUCAAACAUAUUGAAUUGGAA